rnacentral:rRNA from 1 species
GAUGAACGCUGGCGGCGUGCUUAACACAUGCAAGUCGAACGGAAAGGCCCAAGCUUGCUUGGGUACUCGAGUGGCGAACGGGUGAGUAACACGUGGGUGAUCUGCCCUGCACUUCGGGAUAAGCCUGGGAAACUGGGUCUAAUACCGGAUAGGACCACAUUUUGGAUGGUGUGGUGGAAAGUUUUUCGGUGUGGGAUGAGCUCGCGGCCUAUCAGCUUGUUGGUGGGGUAAUGGCCUACCAAGGCGUCGACGGGUAGCCGGCCUGAGAGGGUGUACGGCCAGAUUGGGAGUGAGGUACGGCCCAGACUGCUACGGGAGGCAGCAGUGGGGAGUAGUGCACAAUGGGCGGAAGCCUGAUGCAGCGACGCCGCGUGGGGGAUGACGGCCUUCGGGUUGUAAACUCCUUUCGCUAGGGACGAAGCGCAAGUGACGGUACCUGGAGAAGAAGCACCGGCUAACUACGUG